UAUGGCUGGAGCUGCUAUACCAUGCAGUCGAGCGGUAGCACAGAGAGCUUGCUCUCGGGUGACGAGCGGCGGACGGGUGAGUAAUGUCUGGGAAACUGCCUGAUGGAGGGGGAUAACUACUGGAAACGGUAGCUAAUACCGCAUAAUGUCGCAAGACCAAAGUGGGGGACCUUCGGGCCUCAUGCCAUCAGAUGUGCCCAGAUGGGAUUAGCUAGUAGGUGGGGUAACGGCUCACCUAAUGAGCAGAGCAGUUCCCUAAGCUGGUCUGAGAGGAUGACCAGCCACACUGGAACUGAGACACGGUCCAGACUCCUACGGGAGGCAGCAGUGGGGAAUAUUGCACAAUGGGCGCAAGCCUGAUGCAGCCAUGCCGCGUGUGUGAAGAAGGCCUUCGGGUUGUAAAGCACUUUCAGCGGGGAGGAAGGCGGUGAAGAUUAAUAACCUCAUCGAUUGACGUUACCCGCAGAAGAAGCACCGGCUAACUCCGUGCCAGCAGCCGCGGUAAUACGGAGGGUGCAAGCGUUAAUCGGAAUUACUGGGCGUAAAGCGCACGCAGGCGGUCUGUCAAGUCGGAUGUGAAAUCCCCGGGCUCAACCUGGGAACUGCAUUCGAAACUGGCAGGCUAGAGUCUUGUAGAGGGGGGUAGAAUUCCAGGUGUAGCGGUGAAAUGCGUAGAGAUCUGGAGGAAUACCGGUGGCGAAGGCGGCCCCCUGGACAAAGACUGACGCUCAGGUGCGAAAGCGUGGGGAGCAAACAGGAUUAGAUACCCUGGUAGUCCACGCCUUUAAAAUAUGUCAAUUUAUAUGUUGUGCCAUUAAAGGAGUGGGCUUCCUGAGCUAACGAUUUAAAUCGACCGCCUGGGGAGGCCUUGCCGCUGGGAUAUAAAUUCUAUCGAAUUUGACUACUCGCCCGCACCAAGCGGUUGGAUCUUGUAGAUCUACUUCUUCUGUAUCCUGGCAUCAGCCUCCCCAGUCUGGAGUGUCACCAAGCCCGCCAAAAGAUGGAUUAGUCGCGGUUCGGGAACUGUGAGACAGGUGCUGCAUGGCUGUCGUCAGCUCGUGUUGUGAAAUGUUGGGUUAAGUCCCGCAACGAGCGCAACCCUUAUCCUUUGUUGCCAGCGGUCCGGCCGGGAACUCAAAGGAGACUGCCAGUGAUAAACUGGAGGAAGGUGGGGAUGACGUCAAGUCAUCAUGGCCCUUACGACCAGGGCUACACACGUGCUACAAUGGCAUAUACAAAGAGAAGCGACCUCGCGAGAGCAAGCGGACCUCAUAAAGUAUGUCGUAGUCCGGAUUGGAGUCUGCAACUCGACUCCAUGAAGUCGGAAUCGCUAGUAAUCGUAGAUCAGAAUGCUACGGUGAAUACGUUCCCGGGCCUUGUACACACCGCCCGUCACACCAUGGGAGUGGGUUGCAAAAGAAGUAGGUAGCUUAACCUUCGGGAGGGCGCUACCACUUGGAUGCUUCCCGC
rnacentral:rRNA from 1 species